rnacentral:lncRNA from 1 species
AUUAGUGAUACUGAACAUCUUUUCACGUGUCUGUGGACAUCUGUAUGUCUUCUUUAGAAAAAUGUCUAUUUAGAUCCUCUGCCCGUUUGUUAAUUAGACUGUUUUUUGCUAUUGAGUUGUAUGACUUCUUUAUAUAUUUUGGAUAUUAACCCCUUAUCAGAUAUAUGAUUUGCAAAUAUUUCUUCCAUUCAAUAGGUUGCCUUUUCAUUUUGUUGAUGGUUUCCUUUGCUGUGCAGAAGCUUUUUAGUUUGGUGUAGACCUACUUAUUUAUUUUUGCUUUUGGAAUCAUAUCCAAAAAUUCAACACCAAUACCAAUGUCAAGGAGCUUACAUCGGUGGAUGUUUCCUUCUAGGAGUUUUAUGGUUUCGGGUCUUAGGUUCAAGUUGUUAAUUCAUUUGAGUUGAUUUUUGUGGAUGAUGUAAGAUAGUGGUCUAGUUUUGUUCUGCAUGUGGUUGUCCAGUUUUCCCAACACCAUUUAUUGAAGAGGCUGUCAUUUCCCUGUUGCAUAAUCCUGGCUUCUUUGUUGUAAAUUAAUUGACCAUAUAUGUCUGUGCAAAAAUAUAAGCAUAAUAUUGAUUCCAUUGGACUCCUUCCCUCAUAGAGGGGACAUUGAUUUAUCCUCACUGAGAUAGACACAUAUUCUGGAUAUGAGUUUCCUUCCCUGGCUUUAUUCACUGCUUCACACAAACUUGCUCCUAAUCAAAGAACUCAUUUCACAGCAAAAGAAAUGUGGCACCAAGUGUGGGAUCAUGCCGAGAAAGGGAAAAACGGCCACGAUAGUCGCCAGGCUGUGAUUUUAACCUCUAAGUAUAAAAAUUGCCCAGAACACAAGCAAUACUCCCUUCCCUCUUUUUUUCUAGUUUCUUCAGGUGGAAGCUUGGGUCAUUGAUUCAAGACAUUUCUCAUUUUCUAAUAUAAGUAUGUAAUGCUAUAAAUUUCCCUCUAAGCUUUGAGUACAUCUCACAAAUUCUGUUGUGUGUAAUAUAAAAUAUUUUAUAAUUCUUCUUUUGACUUCCUCUUUGACAUGUUAUUUUUAAAUGUACUGUUUAAUUUCCAAAUAUAUGGUAACUUUCAAAUAUAUUUUUGCAAUUUCUAGUUGAAUUUCAUUGUGAUCAGAGAAUAAAAUUUGUAUUUUAAUUCUUUUAAAUUUGUUGAUUUGCUUUAUGGCUCAAAAUAUGGUCUAGCAUGCUGAAUGUUAUAUGUGCACUUGUAAAGAAUGUGUGUUGUACUGUUCCAGGUAUUGGGUUUAAUAAAUGUCAAUUGGGUCAAGUUGGUUGAUAGUAUUUUUGGGGAUUUCUGUAUACUUGCCAAUAUUCUAUCUACUUAUUCUAUCAAUUACGGACAGGGCAGUGUUGUAGUCCCCAACUGUAAUGAUAGAUUCGUGUAUUUCUCUUUUCAGUUCUAUCGUUUUGCUUUUGUAUUUUGAAACUCUGUUGUUAGGCAUUCUUUUGUUAGAAUUGUGAUGACUUCUUUUUUUUUCAGUUGUGGUAAAAUAUAUACGGCACAAAACCUACCAUUUUAAGUGUGCAGUUCAGUGACAUUAAGCGCAUUCACAUUGUUGUGCAGCUCUCAGCACAAUCCAUCUCCAGAAC